rnacentral:rRNA from 1 species
UACGUAGGGUGCGAGCGUUGUCCGGAAUUAUUGGGCGUAAAGGGCUCGUAGGCGGUUUGUCGCGUCGGGAGUGAAAACUCAGGGCUUAACCCUGAGCCUGCUUCCGAUACGGGCAGACUAGAGGUAUGCAGGGGAGAAUGGAAUUCCUGGUGUAGCGGUGAAAUGCGCAGAUAUCAGGAGGAACACCGGUGGCGAAGGCGGUUCUCUGGGCAUUACCUGACGCUGAGGCGCGACAGCGUGGGGAGCAAACAGG